GAUGAACGCUAGCGAUAGGCUUAACACAUGCAAGUCGAGGGGCAGCAUGGUCUUAGCUUGCUAAGACUGAUGGCGACCGGCGCACGGGUGCGUAACGCGUAUGCAACUUGCCUCACAGAGGGGGAUAACCCGUCGAAAGACGGACUAAUACCGCGUACACUUGGGAUAGGGCAUCCUGACCCAAGGAAAUGAAAUUCGCUGUGAGAUAGGCACGCGUCCCAUUAGCUAGUUGGUGAGGUAACGGCUCACCAAGGCGACGAUGGGUAGGGGAACUGAGAGGUUGAACCCCCACACUGGUACUGAGACACGGACCAGACUCCUACGGGAGGCAGCAGUGAGGAAUAUUGGUCAAUGGGCGAGAGCCUGAACCAGCCAAGUCGCGUGAAGGAUGACUGUCUUAUGGAUUGUAAACUUCUUUUAUACGGGAAUAACAAGAGCCACGUGUGGCUCCCUGCACGUACCGUAUGAAUAAGCAUCGGCUAACUCCGUG
rnacentral:rRNA from 1 species